UGUGUGUCCCCUUUUCUCCCUCCCUCCCCCAGCCCAGUUGGAAAAUUAGAAACAUAAUCCAUGUUGUUGAUUCCAUAAGGUAUUGAUUCCCCUCACCCCUGACACCCACCCACCCAGGGGUCUGCCAAGCUAUGUGAGUUAAAAUCUACAUUUUUAGAAAGACUGGUUCUCGUUUUAUUUGCAAAGGCAAUUUCUGCUCUAAUGACAACACAAAACUUAUUAAUUAUAUUAUUAAUUUUUCAAGUUCAGAUACUGAUGUCCAGUUGAGAAAGGUAAAGAUUGAAUUCACAUUCCUUACCUCCACUUCCACUCAGUCCCUUCUGGAAAUUUGCCUUGUUGGACGACUGAUUCUAAUUCUUCUACUGCUUUUACCUGUAACUUAAUUUCUCCCCAGCGGUAUUGAGAUAUAAUUGACAAGGGAUUGACAUUUUUUUAAACCACCAGGAAAAGAAACCCGGAGCUGUCAAGAAUAAUAUUUUAUUGACUUGGAAUGAGUUUUGGAAUCUGUAUUUUUAACCAGCUACCCAGUGAAAACUAUUUCCUCCUCACGGUUAACUCGAUCCAGAGGCUGCGCCCAUCUCUCCCACGUCAACAGUCCUGUGUCCUUGGCGGAGGACAGUGCUCUCAUUCUGGGCCUUUCCCUUGUUCCUCGGCCAAACCCCUGCUUCUGCACCUCCCUGCAGCUAGUCAAGCUCCCGAUGCCGGGAAAGCCCCGCCCGCUGUCACUCACAGGGAUGAGUGAAAGCUGAUGAGGCCACACUUGUCCUAAUCCACAGCUCUCCUUGCCUCCUCCACUCCCAUUUCCCCAGAGCAGCUACCUCUGUCCCAGGCCUCAGGGCUGUCCCUGGGCUGAAGUGCAAUCCAGCCACAACCACCUUCCAAAGCCAACAGUCACCAUGAACCUGCAGAAAGGCAAGAGCUGGGCACGUCCUGACAUAGAGUAAAGAAAGUCUCCCAGUGAAAAGACAGGAAGGCAGUAUUUGGGGGAGCCCUGUGCUGAGUGGAGGUGGGUGGGGAUAUUUCCUUGGCUUCCAGAGCCUCUUGUCUGAUGGGAUCAGCCGCUCCAGCAGUAGCCACCUGGCCCAGCUUUGGGAGAUGUGGAGAUUGAAUUUCACGGUGAUUUCCACUGGGCCAUGGCACCGAGACAGCUGCAGGAGGGCACACAGCUGGCGCUGCCCCACCCCUUCCAGAGCUGCUCUGGAGGAAUGCCACCCUCCCCAUGGGAAGCGAGAGGGUCCUACUUGCUGUGGUUCCAUGGGAAGGGACCUCUACGCUAAACCCUCAUUUUGAGGGCACGAGCUGGCCUUCAUUAGAGUAAAAUCCCAACAUCACUUAUUCCAGUAGCUCCCCAACCUGGAUAAACAUCAGGAUCACUCGGGAUGUUUAUUUUUAAAAUGAAGAUUAAUAAAAAUAACGAUUUUGUGAACCCA